UACGAAGGUGGCAAGCGUUGUUCGGAUUUACUGGGCGUACAGGGAGCGUAGGCGGUUGGAUAAGCCCUCCGUGAAAUCUCCAGGCUUAAACCUGGAAAGUGCAGAGGGGGACUGUUCAGCUAGAGGAUGGGAGAGGAGCGCGGAAUUCCCGGUGUAGCGGUGAAAUGCGUAGAGAUCGGGAGGAAGGCCGGUGGCGAAGGCGGCGCUCUGGGGACAUUUCUGACGCUGAGGCUCGAAAGCGUUGGGGGAGCAAACAGG
rnacentral:rRNA from 1 species